CAGCCUCAGAGUUUCCAACCAUCUCCAUCACAGAAGCAAGCAGACAAGGACCAAUGUGAUGGGAGAGGAGGCGAAUCCCCUUCUUGUUUGCCACCGAGAAGCUCUCAGACUAAAGAAGCUUCUGAUGAUCACAUCUACAGUGGCAUCACAUAAGAAAGGGAGACUCAAAGAGCAUUUGAACUUCACAGUUAAAAAUCAACACUUCAAACUCAAGUGCAUAUAUCAGCUUCAGAAGAAACGGAAAUAAAAAAGGUGACAAGGACGUGUACUAAAGAUGGGCUCUCUCUUAUAGUGAGGCCUUGACAGAUCUGCAGGAGGGUUGGCACUACACCUCUCAUCAAGGUGACAGCAGUCAGCCUUCUUGCUGACUCCCAAUCAUGAAGAGGGACGUGGAUCUCUUUGGCAGGUUGUUACCUCUGCACCCUGUAGCCCUUCUGGCAAUGAGUAGGAGUGGUAAAACACCUCAAGCAGAAAAGAUAACCGCAUUUGUCUUCCUCAAGUCCCAGGGAAGCACUUCCAGCAUUGUUCUGUUUAAAAAAAAAAAAAAUAAUCACAUUCUUGUUGAUCAAAUUGUAAGUGGGGCUUUCUGGUAUCACUUUUUAAGGUUUUGGCUUUCUAGUUCAUCAACUGCCUGUCACUGACUAUCGCAACAGCAGGAUUCUCUUCUUAUUCGUGCCAUCCAAAACUGCAAGGGCUGUGUCGGUAUGUAGCUCAGUGCCAGCUAUGUUCAACAGCUUAGUUUACAGCUAGUCUUGCAAAGUCAUUCAUUGAGAUUCUUCUCACAUUUUACUAUAUAAAAUCGCUUGAAUAAAUGUGGAAAGAAAAAAAAAUCUCAUCUAAUUUAGAAGUCCAGACAGGAAAAUCUUCCAGAUGGGACCAUUGUCAGAGUUUGUUGGUGUUCUUGCUCAAUUAGCUUGGCAGUGAACUUUAUGAAAGCAGAGCAGCUUACACGGUCACAGAAUAUGCAUGGCCCCCUGGAUGUCACCAUAUUACUAAUUAAAAAGAUGUCAUUUUCAAUGUAACCUGAUGUACAAGAUGUAACCUCUUCCCAUUUUAAAGUGGCAAAACCGCUUCUACACACAUACAGUUUGUGUUAUGCAGCCAUCUAGAGGGCCUUCUCUCUGCACUGACUUCAUGCUGUCAAAGAGAAACCACAAAACUGUAGGAAAAUAUAAGCUUUACUGACCCUUAGUGGCCAGAACUGCUAAGGUACGGUAGGAAUUCUGAAUAAAUUUAACAGUGGUGGUA